GCGCCCGUAGCUCAACUGGAUAGAGCGUUGGACUUCGAAUCCAAAGGCUGGAGGUUCGAGUCCUCCCGGGCGCGCCA
rnacentral:tRNA from 1 species